rnacentral:rRNA from 1 species
GGUUAAGCGACUAAGCGUACACGGUGGAUGCCUAGGCAAUCAGAGGCGAUGAAGGACGUGCUAAUCUGCGAUAAGCGUCGGUAAGGUGAUAUGAACCGUUACAACCGACGAUUUCCGAAUGGGGAAACCUAGUGCAAUUCGUUGCACUAUCGUUUGAUGAAUACAUAGUCAAACGAAGCGAACCGGGGGAACUGAAACAUCUCAGUACCCCGAGGAAAAGAAAUCAACCGAGAUUCCCCUAGUAGCGGCGAGCGAACGGGGAGCAGCCCAGAGUCUUAAUCAGCAUUAGCAUCAGGAGAACGGUCUGGAAAGUCCGGCAGUAAAGGGUGAUAGCCCCGUAUCCGAAGAUGUUAGUGUUGUGAACUCGACGAGUAGGGCGGGACACGUGUUAUCCUGUCUGAAUAUGGGGGGACCAUCCUCCAAGGCUAAAUACUCCUGAUUGACCGAUAGUGAACCAGUACCGUGAGGGAAAGGCGAAAAGAACCCCGGCGAGGGGAGUGAAAUAGAACCUGAAACCGUGUACGUACAAGCAGUGGGAGCCUUGAUUUAUC